rnacentral:rRNA from 1 species
CCUACGGGUGGCAGCAGUGGGGAAUAUUGGGCAAUGGGCGCACGCCUGACCCAGCAACGCCGCGUGAAGGAAGAAGGCUUUCGGGUUGUAAACUUCUUUUCUCAGGGACGAAGCAAGUGACGGUACCUGAGGAAUCAGCCACGGCUAACUACGUGCCCGCGGCCGCGGUAAUACGUAGGUGGCAAGCGUUAUCCGGAUUUACUGGGUGUAAAGGGCGUGUAGGCGGGGACGGAAGUCAGAGGUUAAAACCACGGGCUCAACCUGUGGCCUGCAUUUGAAACUGUGUUUCUUUAGGACUGGGGAGGCAGACGGAAUUCCUAGUGUAGCGGUGAAAUGCGUAGAUAUUAGGAGGAACAACAGUGGCGAAGGCGGUCUGCUGGACAGCAACUGACGCUGAGGCGCGAAAGCGUGGGGAGCAAACAGGAUUAGAUACCCCAGUAGUC